UUCCGGUGCCUGCAACUUCUCCCUCAUUCCUUUUUGAGAAAAGAGCCAAAUUUAGGGUUGCCUCAGCCAAGGGGUUCCGCCCAGAUUUUGGCACCUGAAACACCUUCACAUGCCAAGAAACGCGAGCACACAACCCGUCAGAGGCCGGGGCCUGGCGUCCCUCUGAGCCCCGACCGCCCAGUGAGAGCCCUGGCAGGGGUGGGAGAAGGGGCUGGCGCAGGCACCCGCAGAAGGUCAGGGCGGAGAAGGGGCUGGCGCCGUGGGAGGUGAAAGUGGGCGGAAGGAUCAGAUCGGUGCUCAGAUAACGAAAUCCAGGACGAAAAGGCCGUGGAAGAAAGAGGCAGACACGCCGCUCUGGGGAUCGGACAGGAGACGGAAGGUUGUACAGUGCGGAUGGAAACCAGUUCGCUGGCGGCAGAGGCGUCUCUGCUGAUCAGGCUGAACAGAAAGAGGAAGACCGCGGAGCAGAGGUCCGGGGGGUGAGACCAGGGCCGUGGCCGAGGGCACCUUUCACAGGGGUGUGGCAGACCCAGUCGGCUUUGGGCGACCAGCCUGGGGACAUGAGGGCUAAGCUGGGGGAGGGGGGCGCAGAGAUGAGGCCUCGGCAGGGGUCCAGAGGACGUGGCCCUGGGGACCGCGGACCCGAGGCACCGAGAGCGCUCACUGAAGAAGGCUCCGGUGGAUCUAGCAGCUCAGGGCGGUACCCGCGCGGGGGGGAAAGGCCGAGGGCUCCACUUUCGGGAACAGUGGUUUCCUUUACACAGGCUGGCAGUGAGACUGGCGCUACCCAGUUAGGCAAAGCUCAGCCAAUGGGGCUUUUUUUUUUUUUUUCUUUCUUUUUUUCGGUUUUGGUCCCGGCAUGCAGCGGCUAGAGGUGGGAUCUCAGUUCCCAGAGCAGGGAUUUGAAUCUGGGCCGCGGCAGUGAAAGUGCCGAAUCCUAACCACUAGCCCACCGGGGAAUACCAGGGAAUGGUGCUUACUUUUUUGGGUUUAAGAUCAUCAAAAUUGAAAUAGCACGUUCAAAAAGAAUUCUCAGGAAGAAGGUGCAGCCACUGGAUUAACGGUCUGGGGAUUGCCUGAGAGGAGCGAGAGCCAGAAGCAUAGCGGGAUGGGGCGGGACGGGGCUGGUGGAGGAAAGGCAGAGGGCCCAGCAGCUCAGGGCUUGAGGAAGCACAGGCCGCCGGAUGUCACCCUUGAGGGACCAUCGGUGGCCCUGGAAGCAGCAGGGCAGGACAGGCAGGAGGGACAGCAGGACGAGGUCAGUGGGAGGGGAGAAGUUUGGGAGGAAGUGAGAGGCGAGAGGCCACCGGACCAGGACCCAGGUCGUGGGGAAGGUCUGUCUUGCCCGGAGGCUGCGUGGGGAUGAAGCAGAGGGGCAGAGCUGGCAGAGGGCCACGGAGGGCAGGGCAGGAGCUCAUGGCUGUGGGGGAGGCACCUGCUAGCAGAGGGUGGCGGGCUCGCCCGGUUAACGCCGGUCAUCGGGUCGCCGUGAGGAUGAGCCGAGAGGAUGCUUGACAGACACUGAGGACAGAGCCAGGCCCACGGUCUGUGAAGGCGAUUCCCCGCUGAGGAAGGAAAUGGGCAGCGGGGCCGAGGCCGCAAGGCAGAGCCGCCAGCAGCAGGCAGUCCCGUGUGACCCGAAGGGGCCUUAACCCAGGAAGAUGUUGGUGGGAACAUCUCUCCAGAAGCCCAGAGCGGCCCUCACACGACAGAAUCAGCGGCCGGUGACAACAGCUGCAAGGAGAGGCGUCCUGCCCCCGCCUCUGUCCCCACCACGCCCGCUCCCUCCUGCUGUGUCUGACCUUGGUCAGACUCGACCCCUGACAGUGUCUUCCUGCAACCUGCUUCUCCAUCUGCGACGGGCCCCUUGGGGACACGUCAGAGGACACCUUCCCUGCCCCGCAAGCGCCAGGGUCACCGCCGGAGCCCUUCGCCUGUCUCCCCGCUGGGCCCCCGGACCCACCUGGCCCAGGAAGCCUGCUUGCGGCUCUGACGCCCCUGCCCCCGGCACGUUUCUGACGGCUCACUUUAGCGGUAGGAGAAGCGGGAAAUUCAGGCCUUGGAAAAAUACUUCUUUCCCUUUUGCAGAGUGUGAGCCUGGGGGCAGGGACUGGCUUUGCACUCUGCGUUCCUCCGGCAUCUGAGAUCCAGCAGGUGCGCCGCGUGUGAAGAUAAAACGAGUGAACAUGUUUCAAAGAUCAGUAAAGAAACACGGAGGCCCAAGUGCUCUCAGGCUGUUCCCUCAUGAGCCUGGACGGCGCCCGGGGCUUUGGGGACCAUGGUGGGGACAUGCGCCAGCAUGGGGAAGGGAGGCUUAGGGGGCGUGCAGGUGCUGUGGACAGAGCUCGGGCCCAUACCUGCGGCUGGCAUGUGAAGGCGACGGCACAGGGUGGCCGGGAAGGAAGGAGGCAGGGGACAGCUGGGGCUGAGAACUGUCACGGACGCCAAUGUAGUUUCCCGAGGUGGUGGUGGUGGGGUCAGCCUUCACCAGGGCUGCCGGGAGGCUGGUAAGACUGGGCUGAAAAGGGCCUACUGAUGGCACAAUGAGGACGUUAGGGUGACUGUGACAAAGAAGGGUUUCGGGGGCGGAGGCGUGAGUGCCGUGGGCCAGACCUCACCGCGUCGGGGAGGGUAAGAGGUGAGGCCGGAGUGGUGAGUACGGACGAUCCUUGACUCAGAGCAAGAGAGAGGGGCAGGGACAGAUGCGCGCCAGUCGAGCGGAGGGCUUCUUGUUUGAAUGAUGAGGGAAUCUUGAACAGACAGAUCCGGGAAGCUGCCACAACCAUGAAAUAACACACGGAAGCCAAGGAAAAUUUCUCCCGAAGCUCAUUACGGCUGCAGCGAGGCACGUGGCCAAGGCGCGGUUAUGGGCAAGGCUGUAAGUAACAGGUGGCCAGGUGUCUCCGAGCAGCUGGUUCUAGGAAACAGGGAGUGGGUAGCCAUCCCCUCUACAUUCUGGGAGCUUAUUUCCUAGGUGAGGCCACCCAGGGAGCAGCAAUUGAUACUCACGGCCUGUUUCGGGCUCAGGAUAAAAAGCCAGGGGACGAGCAGGCACAGGUGGGGACGUGGCGAGGCCCACCUUCAGAAAUGAGAUCAGAGGAAUGGCAUCUGGGGUUAGGGCUGCCAAGGCUGGAUGCCAGCUAAAACCUGCCUUUCAGAUAAACCGUGCCUCCUUUUCAAAAUAUAAUUAUGUCCCGUGGGAUAUACUUAGAUUUUACCAAAAAUGACCGUUUGUCUAAAACAGAUGCCACUGGGCCUCUUGUAGUUUCUUUGGCAGCCCUGUUUCAGGUACCUGUCUUUUUGCAGGACGGUCCUGUGUUUACUGCAUCACAGGACAUUGGCUCUGAGGACAGACCUCGGCGAUGCUCUAACUCAGCAUCCUUAUUUUAUCUCAAGGAAGAACACGGGGCGAGCGCAGAUCUGCCUGCCUGCUGUCACCUCGCUGGUAAGGAGGGGGCGGGGGGCCCAGACCCCACAGUCCCCAGGUGGGGGGUGUCACGGAGGAGACGUUGCCAGUUCUGCUUGGGAGGCGAGCCCCAGGGACGUCAUGAAAUUCUCUCAGAGGUCUUAUCGUCACUUCAUUUUGCCGUAAAGAGGGACGCACUGUCUGUUCGGUGAUGUCGCUCAGCGCGCUUAAGGCGGGCGUGCUCGGCGCACUGAGCGGGCCCGUUUAGCAUCCCAGUCACAGAGGGGCUGAGAGGUGACAGUUUGCUGGCCCCGAGUCCAGGGAGAGGCCGUGUCUGCGCAAGUUCCUGCGGGUAACGGCUCGCGCAUUUGUGCGUAGGUGACUCAUCACAUCUGGUAAAAAAUAGGCCCCGUACAUUCAUCUCAGCUCCCAUCGCGUCAUUUGAAACUACCUGGGGGAUCACAGAGGACCAGUCCAGGAAACCAGCCGCAUGAUGAGAACCCAGGCCAGGCACGGAGGCCAGGGUGGGGGUCAGAUACGUGGAAGUGGGAAGCUGAGCGUGACGGCCAGGCUGGCGUCAGGCUAUAACCUGAAACGCUCAGGUCAGGCCUGAGCACCUGGGCCCAGCCGUCUAACUCCAUAGGGGCUCAGGUUAGGAAGUCGGCCUUGGUUGGAUACCUGACCGAGGUAGCGACUCAUUCUUUCAAACAAACCCUUGGCUUCCCGUCUCCGCAGAGGCUGAGGGGCCAGACAGCAAGCUGCGAGCUUUGGCCACAGCCCGGUCUCAGCCCCCCGGGUCCACCCUCUGGCUGGGCCCCUGGGGCCCCAGGGAGCACGGAUGCUCCAUGUUUCUGGCUCUGGGGGUGCCUCUGGCCCUGACUUCUGCUCCUGGACAAUGCGGUCCAGCCCACCCGCAGGCUGAGGGGUUAAAAACGCCCACCUUGUCACCUGACGAGCCCAGGACAGCGCCCCUGUGCACACUGUGGGUGGUGUCACAGGAGUAAUGACAGACCUGGUUCUCCCUGGGCUCAGCGAGGACCCACGGACGUGUGUCCCUGCCGUACCCUGGCCUCCGAAAAACUGUGGUUUCCAAAGCCAAGGAAGACGCUGGAUGGGCCGGUGACAAGGAGGAAGCGACGGCAGAUUAAGAGUGAGCCCGCAGCCCGGCUUUGUGAAAGAUGCAGAUCUUCAGCCGCCUCUGUGGGGCAGAAGGAAGCAGAGGUGGGGGCGGGGGGAGCGGCCUCUGAGGACCCAGAACCAAGUGUCCUGUGACAGGGGACAGGACAGAGCUGAGGCUGUGCUGUCUGUUGGGGGGGUGGGGGGGGGACUUUGUUUGACACACGGAGGUUUCCUCCAGGAGCUCCCGGGACUGGCGAUUCCAGUCUUGUCCUCAUCCCCCUCACAGGCCGUCCUGCUCCGCCUCCCCGGCCCCGGGCUGGCUCCCAGGCCUGUGCUCCAGGCAGGAAGACCAGCUAAGCCUCCUCUGUCCCCGCAUCCCUGCGUUAACAAGCACACAGGUAAUUCUGCGGCGCCAGGCCCACGGAGUCCCUCCCCUGCCUGAAACGCCACUGCGGUGGGUCUGUUUGGACCCAGAGCCAGGGCCGUGGAGCUGGGAGCACAGGCCAAAGCCGAGGGCGAGGCCGCGGGGCCCUGCUGUGCUUUGGGCCCGUUAUUUGGCGUGUGGGUUUCCUCGUCUGUCAAAGCGGAGGAGUAGCAGUGACGACGUCGCGGGACUGAGAAGCGAAGCAGUUAAUUAACGCAAAGCAGGGAGAAAAGUGUCGGGCAGAAUGAGGACAAUCCUCUGUCUGUGGUGUCUUUGCGACCUCUUUCAAGGAGCAGGCCCCCCUCCCUGGUCCCACUCUGCUUCUGCACUGACUCAUGGGACCUAGAGACCCAGCCUCCCUUCAGCUCCCGCAUCUGCCUUUGAAGUGGCCGUGCUGCAGUUUUCUGUGUUGACAGGGGAGCCAGCUUCUGUGUCCGCCGGGUCCGCCUCGGUCCCCUCCCCUGGUUCCUCCUCUAGGAAACGGCCCUGCCCUGCUCGCCCUUUGGGAGGACGCGAGCCCUGCCUGGCUCCUGCCAGCGGGGACUGGGACUGGUGCCUCGGCCCAGUCACCCUGCAUCUGGAGGAGCGGCCUGCGGGAAGCUUGGCUUUCAGGUCUCGCGGUGAGAGGCUGCCUGGUCAGGCCCGCUUUGGCUGUGUGCGCGUGGCCUUUGGAGGGCUGGGUGAGGGAACGCUCUUACUGGGUUUCAUUACCAUCAUGUCCCCGGCAGUCCCCGACUCUGCCUUGUGGCUUCUCUUUCACUGUAAGAUGGGCACGCAUUUGCUGGAAAACACGAGGAUGCCCAGGAGCUGCUAGCAAGCCAGGCUCACUCGUGUUUCCUGGCGGGAGCUGGGUUCCGUUUCCUCGUUCAGCUAAAAUUAGUCGGCCGUCGCUUUGGGCUUGUUGAUGCCAGAGUGAUAUGAAGACAAGCCCCGGGAGAGGCGAGGUUUUCAUGAUGCUGAACCCCCAGGACGGUGGAGCAAAUCUACAGAAUGGCAAAGAGAUGAAGGCGAAAAUCCUUCUACCAAAAGUUCUCACUCAGGACGUCCCAUAAGCACUAUACGAGCAGAGGAUGUUGCUGAAGCUGCAGGAUCUUCAGGGGAUUUAAAAAUUGUAAUAAAUGAAGUCAGAAUCUCACUUUCUUAUCAAAAGGACACAUGAGUCACCAUGAAGAGGCUCAGCGGCCAAAGAGGAGACAGUUGGAGCAUCUAAGAACAGAAUGACUUAAACUGAAAAACCGAACACAUGACCACCUAAGUUCCUGAGGCAAUAAGGCAGGGCCCUCCCCACCCAAGAGCCAGCCCGUGCCUCAGCACCGCAGGUACGCAGGGGAGCAGCUCCUCGCGCGGAAAAGGGCGGCGAGAGGGAAAGAGUGCAGCACUCAGCCUCUCUCUGGGGUCAAACUGUACCUCAGGGUAACUAAACAGCCCCGGUGGAUACAGUUCUGCUUUCCAGAAGAAUCGCAGCUAGUACAUCUAGAACGCGUAAGACAGAAAGUCACCAUUUUGCAGCUGCCAGUAAAUUAAUGACGCAAGCGACCAAGAAAACACCACUUGAAAGGCUGAUGUCUGGCCUUUACAAGGAAAAGAGCAUCCACUGCCAUGCGAGGUCACUGAUCAACUGCAGAAUCACCCAAAGUGGGACAAUACGUGUCUCCUGAAAUGAUGGCAGAAAGUACACAGGCCAGCCUCUGGCCUGGAACGUUAGGGCCGAUUUCCAGUUUGCGAGAAAUGUGAGGGACAGAGAACAACUCGGUGCCACGACGGGACAGACAUCCUCCACGACCUCGGACUCCGAUUUCUCAACCGUCAGUAAUGUCUCGGGGGGAGGAGGGGACCGCAAUUAAGUGCAGAGUCUAUCAACCGACCGGCUGUAAAGUGUGAAUUAGAUCCUGAUCUGAACAAACGAGCUGUAAAAAGAUAUUUUUGAGCUACGUGGAGAAAAUUUUACCAUGGACGGGGUGUUGGAGGAACCGAGGAACUGCCGUUGCUGUCAGUUUUGUCAGAUGGGGUGAUGAUACAUGAAAAAAAUGUCCACCUCCUUAAGGGGUGUACACCUAAGGAGGUAGGCACAGCAUCACCUGGUGGGUGGGUUUUUAAAAAAAUAACACGCACACACAAGACGGCAUCUGGGGAACACAGGAAACACGUGUAGCAAAGGCUUGGUAAUUACCAGUCCUCAGGUAAGAGGCCCGAGGGGGUUCACAAUACUGGUCUUUGUAUUUCUGAAAUUUUUUACAGGGAAAUUUUUUUUAAAGAUUUAAGAGAAGUAGCUGUCUUAAGACGCCCAAUCUGAACAGCAGUUGAAAAAACUCACUUGCAUCACACUGUCAUUUAAAAACAAAUGUGAAACUAUUUCCAGUAGACUUCUCAAAUGAGAUGUCCUUAUCUACCCACAUGAGGGGUUUUUUGGGCAUCUUUUGAGAGUCCCACUGCAUGUCUACUGCCAAUGAACUUCUGCGUUGUGAAAAGAGAAAUUUACCUGUUGUCAAUGAUUGUUA